GCAGUCGUGGCCGAGUGUUAAGGCGAUGGACUAGAAAUCCAUUGCGGUCUCCCCGCACAGGUUCGAAUCCUGUCGACUGCG
rnacentral:tRNA from 1 species